GCCGCCAUGACAAGCAGCAUGUGAAGAUGCUGUGGGCUGUCGGACUGCUGGGGUUUGGCGGGACCCAGAGAGAAAACUCUCCAGCUACACCCUUCCAUAGCAUGCUUGAUGAAAUGAGGCAUGGGAAGGAGAAGAGCACCCCCCCCCCCGGUCAGCCAGGGACCCACCUUGGCUUCACGCCCAUGCAGUACUUCAAAGUGCUCCUCACGAAGAGUGCUGCCGCUGAUGCUCACCCCAACUUCCUUCUUCACCUCAAUGCCAGCUUGACUCUUGUCAUUUGUGACCAUGGAAUUAGACAUCAGGAACAAACAUAAGAGUUCAUACAAGACACUGGGCAAUUAUCUUACUGCUGGUGUUCUACUUUGCUGGAACUAAAGUUUUCUGAGACAAAAUUCACACCCCGGAAAAAUCCAGAUAUCUUGCAAAAGUUUUCAGGAAACAUUUCUGAGGAACUCCUGCUUCCAGCACAUUAUCUUCAGGAUGAACACAUUUUUUGUCUAAUUUUUCCUGCCUGCAAACCAGUGCAUCUUCUAAAAAUAGCUCUCUCCUAAGAUAAACAAUGCAUAAUUAUGCAUUUAUCUAAUAACAGGCAUUUACAAUUUGUAAUCUAAUCCCAGGAAGGUGGAAAAUCAAAGUGUAUUUUGAAAUGAAAAGUCUUUUAUUUCUUAUCCUUUUUAAUAUUUAUCUCAUACCAUAUAAUUGGAUUGUGGGUUGAAUUAAAAUGCAUAAUGGGAUUUGGAAUCUUCUGAAAAACAAUUCUAUAGCUUCAUUGAAAAUUUAUAAAUUGUUGGCGUUAAGUGGCCUAGAUGGGUCUGAUAUUCUUAUUGUCUAAGAAGAGGAAUUUCGUUUCUUUGAGCAUUGGCUCUUCAGAGGCCUAGGGCCGAAGGCAUUCAUCUGAAAUGUCAUGCUCCCAAAAUAAACCCUCAGCUUGACGGACAGCAGACAAGUGUCUGCCACUGUCACCCUGCUACAGAUACCCCAGCAGUUGAUUCCCUUAAAAAGUCAUCGGGUGCAGCUGAUGCCACAUGGGUUUUCUCAGAGCUAUUCUUGGUCAGCCUCGCUUUAUCACAGAGUCACAUAACCUUGUGCAUUCCCAACAGACACAUUUACUAAGGAAGCGAACAUUUCUUCUGCCCCCAUUUUAGACCCCGCGGUCUAGGAUAUCAAGCGCAUGUUAAAAAUUUGAAUUGUUGACUACGCUGGUUAGGUUUAAGCACUUGAUGUAUUUAUUUACUUAAAGAAAGCUUACAUUUCAAAACCAAAUUUAAAACGCAGAUUCAUACUUUAGGUCAGCGAGAGCAAACCCUCAACAGCAGGCAUUCAUCGCUCACAUUGGCAACUGGAAACCAAUCAGAAACAGCUCUAGGGUUCAAACACGCUGGUUCU